rnacentral:rRNA from 1 species
GAUGAACGCUAGCGGCAGGCUUAAUACAUGCAAGUCGUGGGGCAGCAUGAGUAGCAAUACUUGAUGGCGACCGGCAAACGGGUGAGGAACACGUACACAACCUUCCUUCAAGCGGGGAAUAGCCCAGAGAAAUUUGGAUUAAUACCCCAUAAUAUAUUUGAUAAGGCAUCUUAUUAAAUAUUAAAGCUUCGGCACUUGAUGAUGGGUGUGCGGCUGAUUAGAUAGUUGGCGGGGUAACGGCCCACCAAGUCUACGAUCAGUAGCUGAUGUGAGAGCAUGAUCAGCCACACGGGCACUGAGACACGGGCCCGACUCCUACGGGAGGCAGCAGUAAGGAAUAUUGGACAAUGGACGAAAGUCCGAUCCAGCCAUGCCGCGUGAAGGAUUAAGGUCCUCUGGAUUGUAAACUUCUUUAUAUGGGACGAAAAAGGGCAUUCUUGUUCACUUGACGGUACCAUAUGAAUAAGCACCGGCUAACUCCGUGCCAGCAG